CACAGCAGAAUGACUCGGCAAGGAGAAGGGCUUGUCGGGUCUAGCUGGGAGUGGAGGUGGGCCAGGCUGCCAGAGGGAGGCUUUGGGUGGUGCCCUUAAGAGUCUCCUUCAUGAGCUGUUUUGCACUGUGAGGUAAUACACCCAGCACCCAGAUCAAGAAAUGGAACAUAACCAGCACCCCAGAACCCUACCCUAAAAAUGUAAUUUAAAAAAAAAGAUUUUAAUAAAUAUCUUUUAGCGUGCCCUUUAUCACAGUCAAAACACGGAGAGCCAUGGCUACAACUUGAGCAAGUCAAACACGCUGUGAUUCAGGCCAGGGAGAUGAGCGUGGGUAAAGAACACUGUACGAACUAGCUCAGGGCUUCUGGAACUGUGUGCGGCUGAAUCACCGGGGCAUCUUGGUGAACUGUAAAUUCUGAUUCAGCAAACUGGGAGGAGGGCGCUGAGAUCCAGCAUUUCCAUCAAGCUUCCCAUGGACCACACUCUGACUAUCAGGGCCUUCGAUGCAGACAGUCUCGAUACAGCUGCACACAAGAAUCACACAGAAAGUUUUAAAAAUGCCAAUGCCAGGCCAGGCACAGUGGCUCACGCUUGUAAUCCCAGCACUUCGGGAGGCCGAGGCAGGCAGAUCACAAGGUCAGGAGUUCGAGACCAGCCUGGCCAACACAGUGAAACCCCGUCUCUACUAAAAAUACAAAAAUUAGCUGGGCGUGGUGGCAGGCACCUGUAAUCCCAGCUACU
rnacentral:lncRNA from 1 species